ensembl:lncRNA
AUAUGCAAGGCUUGCUUCUGAUGAAGACUUAAUAAAUGGCAUGGCUAGCACUGAUGAAAUGAAAUUGUAGUGAAACAAGGUUGAUAGCCUGCUUUUGAAAGGUGUAGCACUAGAUCAGAGUUCAUCUAUUAAAACCUUCACUCUGAAUGAUCAACUGAUGUACAGGAUUUCUGCAUCGUGCUUUGUCCUCUGAAGAGUUGCUUUAAAAUAAUUAACAAUGAAUCACAGAAGGGUUGAAGCUGGAAGGAACUUCUGGAGGAUCAACCCCUGUUCUAGCAGAGUCAUCCAGAGCAGGAUGCUUACACUCAUGUAGAGACUUAUGAAGAUCUUCAAGGAGGAGACAGCACAACCUCUCUGGACAAUCUCUCUGUGCCAGUGUUCCAGCACCUGCACAACACAGAAUUGUUUCCUGAUGUUCAGGAUGAAUUUCCUGUGUCCCAGUUUGUGCCCAUUGUCACCUGUUCUGGCACGGGGCAACACUGAAAAGAGCCGAACCCUGUCAUGUGUGCACCCGCCCUUUAGGUGUUCAUAGACAUUGAUGAGAUCUCUCUUUGUAUAGGCAGCAAAUUUAGAGAAUCUUUUCUUGAAGACAAUAUGAUUUUCAGCUAAUAAUUCUACACAAAAAAAAAAAAAGAUUUUUUUUUAAAGAAUGCUACUUUAUAAUAAUUUAAAAAAAUCUUUAAGUAUUAAGAACAUGUUUCAAUUUUUAGCUUCUAAGGAACAGUUCCUCACAUUUUCACUCCAUGAAAACAGCCACAGUACUAUUACCUUCCCCAGGUAGGAUGACUCUAAAAUCCACAAUGGACUUGAAAAAUUGAUUACUUUUAUAACUAACAUUUUUAUAUGGAUAUUCACAUGAUGUGUUUACUUUUUCCUGUCAAAUUUAUCCCAAAGUAAAUUUCAAUAACAUGAUCACUUACAGGAAAUGAAUAAAACACUUUAGAAAUGC